rnacentral:misc_RNA from 1 species
GAUGAAGAACGUAGCGAAAUGCGAUACUUGGUGUGAAUUGCAGAAUCCCGUGAACCAUCGAGUCUUUGAACGCAAGUUGCGCCCGAAGCCAUUAGGCCGAGGGCACGCCUGCCUGGGCGUCACACGUCGUUGCCCCCCCAUCUACUCCUUCGGGAUUGCGGGGGGCGGAUGAUGGCCUCUCGUGCGCCUCGUCGCGCGGUUGGCCUAAAUGCCAAGUCCUCGGCGACGCACGCCACGACAAUCGGUGGUUGCGAAACCUCGGUUGCCUGUCGUGUGCGGCCGUCGCGCAUCGAGGGCUCGAAAAAAUUGCCGGGCUUCGGCUCGACUUUCAACGCGACCCCAGGUCAGGCGGGGUUACCCGCUGAAUUUAAGCAUAUCAAUAAGCGGAGGA